rnacentral:rRNA from 1 species
GUUGAACGCUGGCGGCAGGCCUAAUACAUGCAAGUCGAACGAGAACUUAUUUGAGUUUACUUAAAAAAGUGAAAGUGGCAGACGAGCGAGUAACACGUAUGUAUCUGCCCCGAACUCAGGGAUAACUAGCCGAAAGGUUAGCUAAUACCGGAUAGUCCCGUAAGGGUAAAGCUUUUGCGGUUCGGGAGGAACAUGCGGCCUAUCAGCUUGUUGGUAAGGUAACGGCUUACCAAGGCUAUGACGGGUACCUGGUGUGAGAGCAUGACCAGGCGCGAUGGGACUGAGACACGGCCCAUACUCCUACGGGAGGCAGCAGUAGGGAAUCUUCCGCAAUGGACGAAAGUCUGACGGAGCCAUGCCGCGUGAAGGAUGACGGCCCAUGGGUUGUAAACUUCUUUUAUACGGGAAGAAGAUCUGACGGUACCGUAUGAAUAAGGACCGACUAAUUACGUGCCAGCCGCCGCCGUAACAC